GAUCCAGGAGAACCACGACGAGACCUACGGCGUGCCCUCCCUGGAGGAGCUGGGCCUGGGUUGCCAACUAUGAGAGACCCCGAAUGAACGCCAACUCCCUCCUGGCCAGCCCCACAGGCCUCAGCCCCUACCUGCGCUUUGGUUGUCUCUCCUGCCGCCUCUUCUACUACCGCCUGUGGGACCUGUAUAAAAAGGUAAGGGGGACAUACCUGCCCACAUUGCACCUAAGGCCUGCAGCCAGGCCUUUUGGGCUUGUCAGUCACCCUAAAAAAGGCACUGGUGGGUGGGGGUUGGGCUAUGGCCCCUGGAAGGGCCUAAGUGUGUGCAGAUAGUCCGGAGGAGGAGAGAAGACUCAAUAUCCAAGAGGGCAGAGCCAAGCACA
rnacentral:lncRNA from 1 species